rnacentral:rRNA from 1 species
AUGUCCCCACUCUUGAAGCCACCAAAGACAAACAUUGAUAAAGUGUUUGAUCUUAUUGAUUCAGACAACUGGUCUUGGCGACACGAUGUGAUUAGAAAUUCUUUCGCUGCCCCAGAUGUCGAAGCUAUUCUCAACAUAUCCAUUCGGUAGGGAGGGGGCAAGGAUUCCCUUGCUUGGGCGUUUGAUAAAUCUGGCAACUAGAUUGUGAAGAGGGCGUACCGUGCUCUAGUGACUCAAAAAGAGCGUUCUGCUCUAGAAGAAGGGACGACUACCGGGACCUCAGGGAACGAUCAUCAGUUGUGGAAAGCCUUAUGGAAACUAAAUGUCAUUCCGAAAGUAAGAGCGUUUUGGUGGAGAAUUCUUCGUGGCUUUCUCCUGGAUGAAAGCACUCUCAAGCAUUGUCAUAUUGCAAACAUUGGUCGCUGCAAAGUCUGUUUAGCUAUGGAUGAGGCUCUGAAACAUGAUUUGAUACACUGCUCACAUGGCAAACGCUUCUGGCAGGAGGCGUGCACAUGGUUUGGUAUCUGUCUACCCCGUCUCCAUCUGGACUCGUGGGCGCGCGAUAUCACAUGUGAUUCUCGGUUCACUGACGAUGAUCGUGCUAAGAUCACAGCCAUCAUGUGGUCUAUCUGGCAUUCCUGCAACCGAAUUAAACAUGGGGAGGAGGGGCGUGACCCUACAUCUACGAUUUGA